UCAGUAGCGAGGUCAGCUGGGAGCUGUCACAGCACAAAGCAUUUGCGUCUGGCAGAGGCCUGUUGGUUGGUGGCUCCAGGCCCUACAUUCAGCCUCCAGAGCUUUGGCAGAAGUGCUGUGCUUCAUUUUUCACUAGGGAACAUGCCCAGCCGGAGUACCUGGCUGAAGUCGGCUUGCACAUCACAGAAAAGGCUCCACUCCCGCCUGCAUCUGUCCUCCCCUCCCUCUCCCCAGGGUCCGAGUGAUUGGAAGCUCCACACUGGCACUCUGCCACCUGGCCUCAGGGGCCGCGGAUGCCUAUUACCAGUUUGGCCUGCACUGCUGGGAUCUGGCAGCUGCCACGGUCAUCAUCAGAGAAGCAGGCGGCAUCGUGAUAGACACUUCGGGUGGACCCCUCGACCUCAUGGCUUGCAGAGUUGUUGCGGCCAGCACCCGGGAGAUGGCGAUGCUCAUAGCUCAGGCCUUACAGACGAUUAACUAUGGGCGGGAUGAUGAGAAGUGACCGUGGCUGAGGCAAAGCUGCUCCCAAGGCCUCCCUGGCCUGCUGUGGGCUCCUGGGGAGGUGGCCCUCGUGGCCCACGCUCCAUGCCAGUGGCUCACGCUCCACUCCUGGCUACCCCAGAGGGAGUUGUCACGCUGCAGUGAGUGGCUGGCCUUUUAAAUCCACGUCUCUCUCACCAGGAUUUGGUGUUUAGCUGUUUCUCUCUUUAAUCUCACGUAGCCUUUUUCAGGUUAGUACGUGUUCUUCUGUCAGGGCCAAAACUCAAAUCUCCUGUGAAAUACGUAUUGAUAAUCCAAUCUUGAUUUUUCCCCCCAGAAUAUAAAUCUCAGGUAAUAAGGCUUUAGAACUGCUGAUAAAGCGGAUCGUUCUCAGGCCCUCCCCCCGGGGUACUUCAGAAUGCAAUAAAUCAAAAUAAUG
rnacentral:sRNA from 1 species